rnacentral:rRNA from 1 species
UACGGAGGAUGCGAGCGUUAUCCGGAUUUAUUGGGUUUAAAGGGUGCGUAGGCGGGCAGAUAAGUCAGCGGUAAAAAUGCGGGGCUCAACCCCGUCGAGCCGUUGAAACUGUUUGUCUUGAGUGAGCGAGAAGCAGGCGGAAUGCGUGGUGUAGCGGUGAAAUGCAUAGAUAUCACGCAGAACCCCGAUUGCGAAGGCAGCCUGCCGGUGCUCAACUGACGCUGAGGCACGAAAGUGCGGGGAUCGAACAGG